rnacentral:SRP_RNA from 1 species
GCCGGACGUGGUGGCCCGUGCCUGUAAGUCCCAGCUACUUGGAAGGCUGAGGUGGGAGGAUCGCUUGAGUCCAGGAGUUUUGGGCUGUAGUGCACUAUGCUGAUCGGGUAUCUGCACUAAGUUCAGCAUCAAUAUGGUGACCUCCCAGGAGUGGGGGACCACCAGGUUGCCUAAAGAGGGGUAAACCGGCCCAGGUCAGAAACGGAGCAGGUCAAAACUCCCAUGCUGAUCAGUAGUGGGAUCGUGCCUGUGAAUAGCCACUGCACUCCAGCCUGGGCAACAUAGCAAGGCCCUGUCUCU